rnacentral:rRNA from 1 species
UACGUAGGGUGCAAGCGUUGUCCGGAAUUAUUGGGCGUAAAGGGCUCGUAGGCGGUCCAUCACGUCGGGAGUGAAAAGCUGGGGCUUAACCCCAGUCCUGCUUCCGAUACGGGUGGACUAGAGGUAGGCAGGGGAGAACGGAAUUCCUGGUGUAGCGGUGAAAUGCGCAGAUAUCAGGAGGAACACCGGUGGCGAAGGCGGUUCUCUGGACAGUUCCUGACACUGAGACACGAAGGCCAGGGGAGCAAACGGG